AACGUAGGAGGCGAGCGUUAUCCGGAAUUACUGGGCGUAAAGCGCGCGUAGGCGGCUUUGUAAGUUAGAGGUGAAAGCCCGGAGCUCAACUCCGGAACUGCCUUUAAGACUGCAUCGCUAGAAUUGUGGAGAGGUGAGUGGAAUUCCGAGUGUAGAGGUGAAAUUCGUAGAUAUUCGGAAGAACACCAGUGGCGAAGGCGACUCACUGGACACAUAUUGACGCUGAGGUGCGAAAGCGUGGGGAGCAAACAGG
rnacentral:rRNA from 1 species